UGGGGAAUUUUGGACAAUGGGCGAAAGCCUGAUCCAGCAAUGCCGCGUGUGUGAAGAAGGCCUUCGGGUUGUAAAGCACUUUUGUCCGGAAAGAAAUCCUUGGCUCUAAUACAGUCGGGGGAUGACGGUACCGGAAGAAUAAGCACCGGCUAACUACGUGCCAGCAGCCGCGGUAAUACGUAGGGUGCAAGCGUUAAUCGGAAUUACUGGGCGUAAAGCGUGCGCAGGCGGUUUGCUAAGACCGAUGUGAAAUCCCCGGGCAUCACCUAGGCAACUGGCAAUGGUGAUGCUGGGCAGGCUAGAGUAUGGCAGAGGGGGGUAGAAUUCCACGUGUAGCAGUGAAAUGCGUAGAGAUGUGGAGGAAUACCGAUGGCGAAGGCAGCCCCCUGGGCCAAUACUGACGCUCAUGCACGAAAGCGUGGGGAGCAAACAGGAUUAGAUACCCUGGUAGUCCACGCCCUAAAACGAUGUCAACUAGUUGUUGGGGAUUCAUUUCCUUAGUAACGUAGCUAACGCGUGAAGUUGACCGCCUGGGGAGUACGGUCGCAAGAUUAAAACUUAAAUGAAUUGACGGGGUCAUAGCUGUUUCCU
rnacentral:rRNA from 1 species